AAAGCUCAAUAGUCUUCUCGUACUGGCUAAUCUCCUUAGGAGUGCUUUCAGGUGCAUCACCUGACAAAUCUGCAGCAGCAUUGCAAACAACUCGGCUGCUCCUGUAAAGUUUACAACGAACAUGUUAAACAAGAAGCUAACUUGAACUUGACGCACAUCUAACCAGGGCCGUCCCUGAGCCAUGCUAUGUGAAAGGCCCCAAAAAGAAAAAUUUUAGACCUUCGAAUUUGUAAAAAAAAAAUUUUUACAUAGACACAGACACACAUGUUCCUAAAAUCUUAGAGCCGGCCCAUCUAACUAAAAAAAUUACAUCAAUGGAUGAACUUUAUUUAGUCCCCAAUAAAGUACCUGGAGGAAGCUGACUCGAGAGCAAAGACAGAGCGUAACGGUCUACAACUGUUCUGAAUCCUUAAACUUACUCCAGCUUUACCAACGGGAAACAACUUGAGAGAAUCUGAAAUAAACACAGAGAAAUGGAUUCAUCAGCAACAAAAAAAGCCAGAGACUUUGUGUUAGAUUAAAGAAUCUCUGAUGUUAUUAUAUACCAGAAUUCUGGAGAUAGAGGCCAUGGAGAGGGUUUAAGGAUCACAGAGAAAGAGAAGAAAAUGAAAUAAAGAAGAUGACUCCAAAGAAGCAGGAGGAAAAUGUUUUUUUUUUUUGGAGCCUUGUGUGAUUUGGUGGAAGAUGACAAGAGCCACACAUUUUUUUUUAACUCAAUCUGCACAAAAUAUCUCAAGAAAAAUAUUUAAAUCUUUUACCAUAUUGGGAUUAACGAAGAGUGUGCUUGUCACAUCGGAGUUGUCUGCCUUCCCGCCGGACUUUAUGCCGUUUUGGAGAUGACACGUAAGAUGAUUAUCAUUUACCAAUCACCCCCAAUCUGGUCUGUAUUAAAUUAGCAUUUGAAAUGAUUAUUCACAAUAAUAAAUAAAUAUAUUCAAAUAUUAGUUUUUUUGAAAAAAAAUUCAAAAUAUUAUUAACCGAAUCCAAAAUGAAUUUGCAUUUAAAAUGAUUUUUUUUAGAAAAUUAUUUUUAAAAAAAUUUCCUAAUAAAAAAUAUGAUUAACCAAACCUAACUCGAACAUAUAUCAAUCCAAUCCAAAUAUAACCCGAACGUCCAUGUGAACUACACUUUGGCGUGGCAGCCCUGAUUUGUAUUUGGCUCUACCUACAUUUUUUUAGUUUCAGUUCCUUUUUCAAAUAUAUACAACAUAUAUCAGAAGAAAAUUCAACAACCAAGAGUAGUUUGAUUAUUUUUAUAACAUUUGUUCAAACUGGAGAGUGAAAAUGAAGUUUUUGUUACAAGUCACACAAAUCACAAGCCAAUAAUAUUAAAAAAAAAAAACAAAGAUCAGAUGUUGGAAC